CGGAGCGGGGGGGUCGGAGCCUUUGUGUGGAGCCGAGCGGGGCUGGUGCCGGGAGCCGCCGGAGCCCCUCGCCCUGCCAGCCGCUGGAUGCUAAGUGCCUGGCGAACGAAUGAAGAAGAAGCUGACCAGGAGGAGGGACUCUUGACCAACUGCUAAGAUGGGCAUGAGGAUCAAGCUACACAGCACCGAUCACCCCAACAACCUGCUGAAGGAACUCAACAAGUGCAGGCUGUCGGAAACCAUGUGCGACGUCACCAUUGUGGUGGGGAGCCGCUCCUUCGCCGCACACAAAGCGGUGCUGGCCUGUGCGGCCGGCUACUUCCAGAACCUCUUCCUGAACACGGGGCUGGACGCUGCCAGGACCUACGUGGUGGACUUCAUCACGCCGGCCAACUUUGAGAAGAUCCUGAGCUUCGUCUACACCUCUGAGCUCUUCACGGACCUUAUCAACGUGGGCGUCAUAUACGAGGUGGCGGAGAGGCUGGGCAUGGACGAUCUGCUCAAGGCCUGUCAUUCCACCUUCCCCGACUUGGAGAGCUCGGCCGUUACCAAGCAGCCCUCUGGGUCGGGAGAAGGUCGUUCAGGCCCUUUGGGCGGCACAGCGACAGAACCAAACCAUUCCCUGGGUGAACUCCGGAGCAGUGGGGAGCACUUUGGCUCUGAGCGGAAUUGCAUCUUGCACGGGGAAGUGGCAGGUGGUUACAAAGAGGAUGACAGGAAUCCCAUGAGUGAAGCCGGCCAUAACCUGCCUUUGAUGCAUCAACCACCUCCAAAGACAGAAGAGCAGGAACUGACGGGGCAGUUUGCUUCUGCCACCAACGUGGUGUCUCAACCCAGCCUGGGCAACGUCAACAUGGCCGUUCAAACCACUGCAAGUACCUGCCAGCCCUAUAAGAUCCAGAACAACGGGGACUUCAGCAAGACCAGCUUUUUCGCAGCUGACACCUCGCUGGACAUCUCCACCGGGAGCAACUCCUGCCCCAGCAACAGUGACCAUUCCAAAGACCAGGGCUUCGGGCAGAUGGAUGAGCUGCAGCUGGAGGACCUAGGGGCAGACGAGCUGCACUUCGAAGACGCCAGCGAAGAGCUGGGCCCGGUGGAGGAGGUCAUCGAGCUGAGCGACGACAGUGAGGAGGAGCUGGCCUUUGAGAACGACAGCCGGGAGAGCAAGGCCAUGCCCUGCCAGGUGUGCAAGAAGGUCCUGGAACCCAACAUCCAGCUGAUCCGCCAGCAUGCGAGGGACCACGUGGACCUGCUCACCGGCAACUGCAAGGUCUGCGAGACCCACUUCCAGGACCGGAAUUCCCGGGUCACCCACGUCUUGUCCCACAUUGGGAUCUUCCUCUUCUCCUGCGACAUGUGUGAGACCAAGUUCUUCACCCAAUGGCAGCUCACCCUCCACCGGAGAGAGGGCGUGUUCGACAACAACGUCAUCGUCCACCCCAGCGACCCACUGCCCAGCAAGAUCAACCUGUUUGGUGGAGGGCCCGGCUCGGAGCUGGUAUGCACCACCUGCGGGAAGCCACUGGCCAAAGAUUUCCACACCGUCCGGGGCCACAUUCUGGACCACAUGAACUUGAAAGGCCAAACAUGUGGCGUGUGCGACCAGCGGCAGCUCAACCUCUGCAGCCUGAUGUGGCACACGCUUUCCCACCUGGGCAUCUCGGUCUUCUCCUGCUCCAUCUGCGCUAACAGCUUUGUGGACCGGCAUCUGCUGGAGAAGCACAUGGCCGUCCAUCAGAGCAUGGAAGAGGCUCUCUUCCGGUGCCAUUUCUGCGGCCAGAGCUUCAAGCUGGAAGCGGCUUACCGCUACCACGUCAGCCAGCACAAGUGCGGCGGCAGCCUGGACGUCGUCCGGCCCAGCUUCGGAGACCGGCUCCAGCAGCAAGCCCUCCAGAAGAGGAAGCUGCCGGAGGAAUUCCUGAGCGAGGACCUGGCCCUGCAGAACCAGCCAGGAAACAGUAAGUACAGCUGCAAGGUCUGCGGGAAGAGGUUUGCCCACACGAGCGAGUUCAACUACCACCGGAGGAUCCACACGGGAGAAAAGCCUUACCAGUGCAAAGUGUGUCACAAAUUCUUCCGCGGCCGCUCCACCAUCAAGUGCCACCUGAAGACGCACUCGGGGGCCCUCAUGUACCGAUGCACUGUGUGUGGACACUACAGCUCCACCUUAAACCUCAUGAGCAAGCACGUCGGUGUCCACAAAGGCAGCCUGCCGCCCGAUUUCACCAUCGAACAGACGUUCAUGUACAUAAUCCAUUCCAAAGACGCGGAGAAAAACACAGACAGCUGAUUGGGCGGCGCUGGUGGGGUGGGGGAGCAAACACUAAUUACAAAGCGGUGACUUUUUUUCCCCCCCGGUUUUAACGGUCGGACGUUGUGGAUGGAAUUCUCCUUUUUUUUUUUUUUUUUGGCCUUGCCUCGGGAUUUUUCUGUCGGCGUCCUUCAAGUUAACAGCACGUGAGCUCCGUCCGUCUCCAGAUCUCCCCGCACCUGGCAAGAAGGAAUGCCAACAGCCCCGUGGACCUGGCAAGGAGAUUCCCAAGGCCAGAUCCUCACCUGGCAUCGAGCUGCGUAUGGAGUCGGUAGAGAACGCUCCUGCAAAGGACUCUGCGGUGGGCAUGAAGUGGAGCAGAACGAAAGCUUUUCCCGUCCCCGUCGGUGUUUCUGAGCCGCGCUGGGGAGGGCAGCCCCCCGCCGUCACAGCCCGGUUUCAAGCUCGGUAACUAAACCAGCCGAAGACGUGGGGAGACGAGACUUCCACAGCUCAGCAGGGAAGCGGGGACCCCAGGCCAGGGACGGGCUGGACUGAUGGACUCCCCAACAGCAGCACCAAUGGAGCCCGGAAAUGCUGGGUGACUCCUGCAGAGUGGGGGAAGCUGACGGGUAGACCCAGGUCGGGAUCCAGGCUCAAUGCAGGUUUCUUGCCCCAGGCUUGGCACCUUCCAACCUUCCUCUUAGCUCUGGGCAGGGCUCACAGCCCCCUGGAGACAGUGAGAUCAGCCCCCCCCCCCCCAAGCUCAGUAGAGCCCCCCUCUGGCUGAGUCUAAGCCGUGCCAGGUGAGGUGCUUCCAGCUUCCGGGGAUCUGGGCUAGUUGCUAUCUGCGAGCCCUGGUGCGAGCUUUGAAAGCAAAGUGCAGCCCAAAUGCCCCAUGUUUUGGGGUCAGAACCCCACUGAAUUGCUCCGUGUUUCCCCCAGUGAGUGCGAAUCAGAUCCCAGCCCCGAUUCGCCAGCCUUUGCCUCAAUUCUCCGUUUGGACAAUGGGGGCCGUCAUUCCCGAUUUAGACCAUCAAUUCUCCAGGGCAGGGACUGCCCCUUAGUAUGUAUUUGUGCUCGUCCUAGCAAGCCGGGGCCCCAAACUUGGCUGAGGCCUCGAGGGGCUGCUAUGAUCCAAAGAAUCAUUGUCAUUGUUCAUGCCCGUUGUGAUGGUGCUGCCCGUGGGAGCCAGCUGAGGUAACUCAAUUAUGGUGAACUGCAAACAGAACGGGGCAGACAAACCCCAAACGCUGGUGGAUCUUCCAGUGCUUAGAUUUACCAACCAGCUUCUAUAGUAUCGCACUGGUUACUCAGAGUCCAGACAACGCAGUUCCCUUAAAGUGCCCAGCCUCAGGCCUCCGUCCAGACACACGUCACAUAUGAUGAUAAAUUCUGAAAAUCUGAUCUCAUCAUAUAAAAAAAAAGGUUCUUCCAAUCCCAAAGGACCAGCCACACACCCAGGUCCAAUUAUAACUUAGAUCUUACCCAAAAUAUACGCUUCAAUUAUUGUUAACUAAACUAAAAUUGAUUAAAAAAGAAAAGAGAGAGAGUUGGUUCAAAGAUCAAUAUACAGACAGACUUGAGUUCAAUUCUUGAGGUUCAGAUACACAGCAGAGAUGAGCUUGUAGGUCGCCAGAAGUCCUUUUAGAAAUAGUCCAUGGGUUAUAGUCCAAUGUCCAUAUUCAGGGUGGCUCCAGUCAGUGACUGGGGAUCUCAAUCCUUGUGGCUUAAGGUUUCCCCCUCUCGAAACCCAAAGCAGAUCUGAGAUGAAGAAGGACCCAGGGUUUUUAUACAUUUCCAGCAGCCUUUUGGCCUGAGAAAACAAUAGACUUAACUUUCCUUCUCCUAAACAUCAUGGCAAUUAGCACAGGGUAUCCAUUAAACAGUUCAGAUACAGGUUACCACAACCUUCAAAGAGACAGAGAGACAAUAAUACUAUUUCACUCAAGUAUCAUCAUAAAUGUUAAUAUUCCUUUUUUGAUCUUUGAAUCAAAGCUCUAGCAAUAGACAAGACUUGUUUGCUUCCAUCACAAGCCCUGAGCAAACAUCUCCCCUUCUACCUCUAACACUGCAGACUUGCAUUUCAAAGCUCUGUUCAUUUACGGAUCUUCCUAGCCAGUCUCUAAAGUUGGGCCAUGGGUCAGGUCAGUCUGUGAGGUAAUUAACUCUUUCUGGCCCUGUCACCUUUCCAUGAGAGAUUAUAUUACACUCAUCAUGUCACACCCGUGGUGACCUUUUUGCCUGCUGGUUUAGCAGAAUUAGGAGGCUAAGCCGAUCACCUCUUUUUCCCUGGGGAAGGCAGAGCACUUGCAUUCAGAGACCCCCGAAUCAUCACAAGUGGCUGGUAUCACUUAAAACUCUUCACUGCCACUUAAUCCUGGAGGAAUGACCAACCUGCCUGCAGGCUUUAGGGACACGGGCACUGCCAAACCGGAUUUAACCCAGUGCCCCAUCUCCAUCAGUAGCCAGGACCACCUGGUUUAGAGACAAGUGCAAGGAACCUUGCAAGAGGCAGCUGUAGGAUAACCUGUGCCUUCGGCUAGUUUCCUCCUGACCCCUGUAGUUAGAGCUCAGUUCGUGCCCUGGAGCAUCAGGGUUUAUUGCCUAAAAUCUUGCUUAUUUUUACAUUGACUGUUAUAACUCUAGCGAUUCUUAUCACCCAUUGAAAUACCUUGAUCUCGGGGGAAGAGACUGAGCAAGGGGAACCCUGGAUCAACCGUCUCUUGCCCAUUUGCUAUUUUCUAGAUCUGUUAUUCUCCUUAGCAGUCGUUAUUUGUGGUGCCCGGUAGCCUCAUUCGUGGACCAGCACCCCGUUGCGCUAGGGGCUGUACAAACACACAACAAAACUCUUGUCCCUCCUCAAAGAUUUUCUAAUCUAAGUGAUAUCCUGUCCCUUUGUGUCCGUCUCCUCUCUGAGGGAAACCGCCCCUGUUCUUUUACGUGAAGCAGAUGCCAGAUGCAGAGAGAAUUUUCCAAAUGCUGGGCAGACAGAUGACUCGGUAGCAUCCUGGGUCUCCAAAAUCCCACACCUGGGGGCUGCUAGCUCAGGCAGAGAUGGCCAGGUAAAGAGAUUGCUUGCAGCUUUUUCAGACCACCUAGUGGUGGGCCCCUCUCCUUGGAAACGUUAGUAACCUGCACAUCUACCAAUGUGAUAUAUGCCAUCAUGUGCCAGCAAUGCCCCUCUGCCAUGUACAUUGGCCAAACCGGACAGUCUCUACGCAAAAGAACAAAUGGACACAAAUCGGACGUCAAGAAUUCAAAAACCAGUCGGAGAACACUUCAGCCUCUCUGGUCACUCAAUUACAGACCUCAAAGUCGCCAUACUCCAACAAAAAAACUUCAGAAACAGACUCCAACGAGAAACUUCAGAACUGGAAUUAAUUUGCAAACUGGACACUAUUCAAUCAGGCUUGAAUAAAGACUGGGAGUGGAUGGGUCAUUACACAAACUAAAAACUCUUUCCCCAUGCUUGGUUUCUCCCCCUCCCCCCCGUUACUCAUACCUUCUUGUCAACUGUUGGAAAUGGCCCAUCCUGAUUAUCACUACAAACAUUUUUUUUUUCUCCUGCUGAUAAUAGCCCACCUUAACUGAUUACUCUUGUUACAGCUGGAAUGGCAACACCCAUUUUUUCAUGUCCUCUGUGUAUAUAUAUUUUCCUACUGUAUUUUCUACUGCAUGCAUGUGAUGAAGUGGGUUUUAGCCCACGAAAGCUUAUGCCCAAAU